rnacentral:rRNA from 1 species
AUUGAACGCUGGCGGUAUGCUUAACACAUGCAAGUCGAACGAUGAGAAAGAGCUUGCUCUUUCGAUUAGUGGCGGACGGGUGCGUAACGCGUAGGAAUCUACCUAUUAGUGGGGGACAACUUAGGGAAACUUAAGCUAAUACCGCAUACGCCCUACGGGGGAAAGAAGGGGAUCGCAAGACCUUUUGCUAAUAGAUGAGCCUGCGUAGGAUUAGCUAGUUGGUGGGGUAAAAGCUCACCAAGGCGACGAUCCUUAACUGGUUUGAGAGAAUGGACAGACACACUGGAACUGGGACACGGUCUAGACUCCUACGGGAGGCAGCUGUGGUGAAUAUUGGACAAUGGGCGAAAGCCUGAUGCAGCAAUACCGCGUGUGUGAAGAAGGCCUUAGGGUUGUAAAGCACUUUCAAUUGGAAGGAAAACCUCGAAUCUAAUACCUUCGAGUUUGACAUUACCUUUAGAAGAAGCACCGGCUAACUCCGUGCCAGCAGCCGCCGCGG